rnacentral:rRNA from 1 species
UAGGGAAUCUUCCACAAUGGGCGCAAGCCUGAUGGAGCAACGCCGCGUGAGUGAAGAAGGUCUUCGGAUCGUAAAACUCUGUUGUUAGAGAAGAACAUGCAGGAGAGUAACUGUUCUUGUAUUGACGGUAUCUAACCAGAAAGCCACGGCUAACUACGUGCCAGCAGCCGCGGUAAUACGUAGGUGGCAAGCGUUGUCCGGAUUUAUUGGGCGUAAAGGGAACGCAGGCGGUCCUUUAAGUCUGAUGUGAAAGCCUUCGGCUUAACCGAAGAAUUGCAUUGGAAACUGGAGGACUUGAGUGCAGAAGAGGAGAGUGGAACUCCAUGUGUAGCGGUGAAAUGCGUAGAUAUAUGGAAGAACACCAGUGGCGAAAGCGGCUCUCUGGUCUGUAACUGACGCU